GCCAGGCAGCCCCUAUUAAUAGCUGCCAAGAAGGUACGACGCCAGCCGGUGCCACUGCAGUCACGGGCUAGAAUUACUUUCCACCGCACGUGAGCGAAGGAACCGGCAGAGGUGCCGGAGGGAGGCAGGGAGAGGGAGACAGGGAGAGGGCGGCGCACCGACCGAGCGAGCCAGCCCAAUGGCCAACCCUCGGCACGGUGCCUUCCCGGAGGACCCAGGCGUCCUGGCUUGCCUCCCCCACUAUCACACGCCAGAAGCCCCCCCCCGGCCUGGCUGCCACCUGCUGUUCCGGCUGUGCUCUUCUCACGCCCCAACCAGCCCACCGGCCACACCGAGGGGAAGAAGAGGCACCUUCGCCAGCCCAGCCCUCUCUUUACCUCGGCGCAAGGCAAAAGCUUCCCUCGCUCACAGCGCCAUCCCAGGCACGCCUGGACACUCAGGGAGAGCUGCUCCAGAAGCAGGGCGUGCGGAGGAGCGCAGCCUGAAUUUCUCCGCCGUCGUCUGCUGUUAAAGACGCAGGAGCGCGAGGCCACUUGACAAAACAAAACGACACCGCCGGCAACCUCGCUGCCACCGGCCGAGGCCGCGACACUCGCCAGCCCCGUCGUCCCGUCCGCUGCCGGCAAAGGAGGGUUUAUUCUGAGGUGCAGCUAGACCCGUUUUGCGCCGCGUGAAACACGCUUUUGGGCAGUUUCCAGCAACUGGCACUCAGAAGCAGAUCCUGCCUGGAGAAUGGCAGUCCAGGUGGCUUCUAGAUGUGAGAAAGGGAAGGCAAGGGGAGACAUCUUGUUCUUCAGUCCAGCCCUCCUGUAGCCUUAAGGUGGAUGUGUUAACCAACUCCACUGAACCUUUCCGUAUGAGGUAAUCUGAAACGUCUAUCUGCUAUCUGGCCCAUUCACACAUACCAAAUCAUAUGACUCGAUGCUGCAGCAGCCAACAACUAACCAAUACUCGUGUGAAUCUGCCCACAGAGCCAAAGGGUUAUGCAUCCUCUCCUUAGCCGUCUUCUCCAUAUCUUUGGCCUUUCUACACACCAGUGACAACUCAGUCUUCUAAUUCAGCAAAAUAUUUUAAUGUCUCUCCAGAAAAUAGAAUAAACCAAGGAUAGCCAAACUCAAGGCAGGAGGUCUUCUUUUCUCGAGUGAAAAGGACUUUCUUUAAAUCCUUUCCUCUUCCCACUUACCCCCCCCCCAACCUCAGGACAAACAAACGCCAAGAGUCCCACACAACCCUUUCUUUGUGUCAGAUCAUCUUCCUGAAGUGCUCAAUAGCUUCUUCCGACUUCUGCAAUUCAGUCUUGCUUUGUUUCAGCUGGAAAAGAAAAAUAUAUAUUUGUCAAUGGAGCGCCUGUAUCAGUUUUGCCCAUUCCUGGGCUGGAUGAGGCUCUGCAAAUUAUCUGAAUUAAGCUGAUUUGGAGGGAGAUGGAUUUUAGAAUAGGGAUUCAGUCUGUAUUCGAGGGGGUUAUACUCUCCCUGGAAAAAAAACAGGCUUGCCAUUUGGGAGUGUUCCUAAAUGCAGCUUUGCAACUGGAUGACCAGAUAACAGCAGUGGUCAGGCUGCAUUCGCUCAGAAAUUAGGAAGUCACAUGUGGUUACAUUAACACAUACCUUAGGUUCAGGAGUGGAGCACCUGAGGUCCACGGGCCAAAUGCAAACCUCACAACCUCCCUACCCAGCACAUGAUCCCAGGUUCAGUCCCCAGCAUCUCCAUGUAGGGCUGGAAAUAUCCCGCCUGAAACCUUGGAAAGCUGCUGCCAGUCAGUGUAGGCAGUACUCAGCUAGAUGGACCAAUAGUCUGAGUCGAUAUAAGGCAGCUUCCUAUGUCAGCAAUCCUGCAACAGCUGCACUGGCAGCCAAUUUGCUUCUGGUCACUGUUCAAAGUGUUGGUGAUUAUCUUUAAAGCCCUAAAUGGAUUCGGACCAAGUGACAACAGGAAGAGCUUAUACUGAAGCCCCAGAGGCAUUGCAAUGUGUGACUUUCAGGAUAGGGCUCAGAAUUCUAAUGAUGGGUGUUUUCUUACCUUGGCUGCGUCUGCCUCCUGGACUUUGGCAGGCACCUUAGCUGCAUAGUCUGGGCUGCCCAUGCGCUCAUGCAGCCGGAGAAUUUGUUUAUGCAGCUCUGCUUUUUUGCCUGCCAGCUUAGAGAUCUCCUUCUCAGCGUCAAUCAAGCCCUGGCACGGGAGAUAGAAAGGUAGAGAACGUAAAAAGAGCCAGCUGGAUCAGGCCAAUGGCCCAGGUAGAUCAGCAUCCUGGUCUCACAGUGGCCAACUAAGCUGCCCCAAUGGGAAGCCCACAAGCAGGACCUGAGCACAAAAGGACUCCCCACUCCUGCUGUUUCUAGCAACUAGUAUUCAAGAAGCAUGCUGCCCCCAACUAUGGGGGCAGAGCUUAGCCAUCAUGGCUAGUAGCCAGCAGGUUUAUUAAUGGCUAGCAUGGAGAGUCUCCCAGCACAAAGACCCUUGCUGCUGCCUCCCCCCCCCAAAAAAGAAAAGAUACAGCUUUGCCCCUCUUAGUGAAUACUGUACUGAAGAUCAUGCUUUCAUGUGUCAGUGUGCAGGGUAAUCAAUACAGCAUGGACUGGCAUUUAUUAGUUUUUAGAAAAGGUUCCUAUAGUCCUCAUGUUUUUUGAGCAAAGCUCAGAAAACAUGACUGCAAUCUGUUCCUAAAAGUUUCAGAAUCCUAUUAUGGUUAUUUAUGACAAAAAUCAAUUAUUACAGUGUAGUCACAGCUUAUUCUUCUUGAAGACUAAGGCUAGACAGAGUCAGACAGCAGACUGAGGUGUCAGGAAAUGGUUACUGUGGGAGAGAACAGAGAACUGGGCCGUAAUGGACACUAGAGCCCCAAACUCAUUGUUGCAUAUGCGACUCUCAUUACCUUGAGCAGAAGGUGGACAGUGCAUUUAUCAGAAGCAAUAGCUACAGCACAACCAGAAGGGGGCACCCGCCCAGGCUCCAGGACCAGCAUUUGCUUGGAGGAGCUGAGAGUCCGGAUGUAUUCUGAGCAACGAGUCACAGCCUCUACCGUCUUGGAAUCCAGGCACUGCAAGUAACCUGGGAAGCGGAGGAAGAGACCCAAGUCAACGAGAAGGAGACGCUGGGCGGAUUGUGCUUCUCUUGACUUGUGCUAUAACAUUCUUUGUAAGACUUCAUUCCCCCCCCCAGCACGGCCUCUUAGAUCUACUGAAAGCAGCAUCUUAAUCAUUCCAUCCCUGUGCCAAACUGGGAACCCAGCCCUUCCAGGAGAUGCCUAGGAUUGAACCUGGGACCUUUUGCAUGCAACGCAGAUGCUCUACCACUAAGCUACAGACUUUCUGCAUGGAGAUCAGAGCCCAAAUCCCUGCUCAGCAUCCUGGAGCCUGUCGCACUCUUAGUCUCUUGCUUUGAGUCACAAGGCACUAUUGACUGAAAAGGCCUAACUCACACUGGCAAUUUGUUCUGCCUGGCGUUUUAGGAGUUACUUCACUUGAUGUUCUCGCUUGCUCUUGCUCUUUCUGCUCUAGCCCCAUGAUACAGAGCAUCUGCCUUGCAUGCAGAAGGUCCUGGGUUCAAGCCCCGGCAUCUCCGGGUAGAGCUGGGAGAGUUAGAUGGACCAAUGGUCUGACACAGUACGAGGCAGCUUUGUAUGGGUUGUAUCCAAUGCUACUCUCCUACUCGAAAUAGAUCCACUGAAGUUAAUGGACAUGACUGGCUUAGGUUCAUUUAUUUCACUGGGUCUACUCUGAGUAAGUUGGACACAACCCUAUGUUCCUAAUGGCAAACCUUCCCCACUCUUCUCACACUCCCUGUACUCACAGUCAGCUUUGGUCUUGGUGAGGUUGUAGUCUGCUCGGAGCGAUCGAACAGCCCUAAUAAUGCUCAACAUGAAGUCAACGGUGUGGUCCAAGCCCUCGUCCCUCCAGCAGUACUAAGGCAAGACAAGACAAGAAAAGGAAUGAAAUCAACAAAUCAGAACCACCACCUGGGGCCAGACACUGAUUUUCCUACUUUGACAACAAAUUGGUGUACACUCUGCAAUUAUUUUCCUGGGCUUUUUGUGUGUGUUUUGGAGAGAGGAUUUUUUCCCCCAGCCUUUGCCCACCUGGAACCCUCUGGAUGUUUUGGAAUACAGCUCCCAUAACCCUGCUUUCCUAGCUGGGGCUGAUGGGAAUUGUAGUCAAGAACAUCUGCAGGUUACUGGGUUGGUGAAGGCUGUUUUAAUUGA